AUGCGACCUAACUAUGUUUCCCCGCUCAGUACAACUUAAAAGACAGUGAUGCGCGCUCAGUCACAGGACACAUUGUGAGAAACGUAUCUUUAGGGGAGCCUUCAGACCUCACACAAACGGAGAUGGUCUAGGUCAGUCCCAUGACUUCCUGGAGCACUUGACGCACUGUUACAUGGAAACGCAGGCCUAAGGUGGCUGGACUGAUAAAGUGCUUGUCUUGCAAGCCUGAGGACCGGAGUUCAAUUCCCCAAAACCUAGGUGAAAAAAAGUGGUGAUGGGGUGCGCUGCAAUUUCAGCGCUGGGGAAGCGGAGAUAGGCGGGUCCUGGGGGCUCACUAUCCACCAGAGUGGGAAGGAACAACACACACACACACACACACACACACACACACACACACACCCUCAUCAGUAGUUUUACGGUUCUAAGAGCCUUCCUGCCUCAGCGUCCCUGGAGCAGUCAUGUGACCGUGUCUGACCAAUCAAAGCUUGGCUCCCUUCCUCAACCACAAACUGAACCAAUGAGAACCAGCCUUAGACUCUAACUGCAACCUCCGGGAAAAGGCAAGCCUCUCAGCUCCGGUUGGUGUCAGGUGACACAGGUGAACUGUUGUGGCAGGCCACAGAGGGGCACGGAGGAGUGAUACAAGAAGAAUGACAAAUAGGCAUGUCCACCAGAGAGGGAAGGAGCCAGAAUCGAGCAUACGUACGCAGUGCCGCAGGCCCAAGGCUGACAUCUGUGCACAGAGGCUUACAGGAGCUGACAACCCAUAAACUGAGAUCUUGGGCAGGAAGGAGGCAGCGGGAAGUGAGACAGCACAGCUCUAAAAGAGAAGACUGUUUGGCUGGAACACAAGGGGAAGAGAAAAGUCACUGGGUACAGAUGAUGAAAGGCGAAGUGGGAUUGUGGAGAGCCUCAUCAUAAGAACGGCAAUUACAGGGUCCUGGAGUCUCCUCCUCAGCUGUGGUUGUAGAGUGUCGAGCUGUAGUUCCGCAAUGCACGUAACCUCUGUGCUAACAGAUCAUUUUGAGCUCUGCUCAUUGGGAAUGAAGAUGUCUAAAUGGAGAGUGUCAUUAAUCUGGAACAAGCAGGUCCCACAUGUUCAGAGCAAAGGGUCACAUGUGAAUCAUAAAUCCAAAGUGUUCUUAAAUAUCUAUAAUAAGCUGCUAUAAAACGCAAUGGAAAAGAUCCUUAUUCAAUGCCAAUAAAAUUCUAAAACUCUUUCCCAUAAAUCUACUGGGAGGCAGUGAGAGAUACUUGAGUUAAUGUUCUUAUUUCCCUUAGACAAUUAAAUACCAUGAACACAUCACUGGCUCAUUUGAAGAGAUUUGCUAAGGCCCCAUUGCAUGCUGGGUACAACCCUUGCAGUGCAUUAGUGCCCCAAACCAAGGUCUACUCACUUUAUUGUGUAAGGUCAUGAGAAAAUAAACUCAAAAUCCAUUUGGAGACCAGGCAAAAACAGCCACAACAACUUUUAAGUCCCAAUGGUGACAUUUGCCCUUUGGGGCAUUUGAAUACAUCUUUAAGCAAUGGUAAUUUUAAAAGCCCAGAACUAUUGUAUAAAAGAAAAGUGAGACCAGAAAUAAGCCAAUCACCUCCUCAAACCUCAUGGAUGAUGGAGUAUCCAUCCCAAAUCAUUGGUCAGUAAAUGGUGAUUAGAUAGCAAAAUUGGCAAAUCAGAAAAUUUAAAAAAAAAAAGUGACUGCCUGAGGCUAACUGAAAUACAGUCCAUGAAACACACUUCAUUUGAAUUAAAGGAGUUAAAUAUUUAAAGAAAUUAAAUGGAAACUUAGGCACGGUGGUACGCACCAGCUCUUGGAAGGUAGUGACAGGAAGAUCAGGAGUUCAAAGCUAGCUUCAGCUACAUAGGGAGUUCAAGGCCAGCCUGGGCUAUGUGAGGUGUCUCAAAGAAGAAAAGGAAGAAGAAGAGGAAGGGUGGACUCUGGAGAGAUAGCUCCAAGGUUAAGAGCAUAUACUAUUCUUGCUAAGGACCCGUAUUAGGUAGCUCAUGACUGCCUGCAACUCCAAGGAGAUCUGACUCCUUUGGCCUCUGCAGACACUGCACUCGUGUACACAGACACACAUGCACACAAUUAAAAACAAGACAGCUUUUAAAUAAAGAAGAAAGAAAAGGGGAUGCAGAAGACCAAGCCUGGAACAGAUGUGUGAGAGGCAAGUCACUCACUGCCACACCAAGACAACAAGGGGACAGAUCUGGGAAGGACUGGUGAUUCCCACACCAAGACAACGAGGAGACAAAAUCUGGGAAGGACUGGUGAUUCCCACACCAAGACAACGAGGGGACAGAUCUGGGAAGGACUGGUGAUUCCCACACCAAGACGACGGAGGGAAUAAGUAGGAAAAACCAGUGGAACAGGCCACACACAACGGAAGCUGUAAGGGAAAUGCCAUAAACACAAAUCCACAAAUCAAGUCAGUGAAGGAUCAGUGCUAAGGAAGGUCCAUGGGCUUCA